rnacentral:rRNA from 1 species
GCUCUAAUAGCAUAUAUUAAAGUUGUUGCAGUUAAAAAGCUCGUAGUCGGAUUGGGCUUGUGUGGGCUGUCGGCUUAUGGUCGGACGGAAUGUGCAGGCCUUUCUGCUCGGAAUCCCCAUGGCGGUUCGCGCCGCUGUGGAGGGUACGGGCCGUUUACUUUGAAAAAAUUAGAGUGUUCAAAGCAGGCUAUCGCUUGAAU